rnacentral:lncRNA from 1 species
GGUGCACUAGUAAUAAUAAAAGAAAAAAAAAGACAUAAAAAGGACUUGAACAUGAAUUAUUGGAGGCGCACAUUGCACAACAUGUGAUCUACCAAAUUAUUAAUGAUUUACCUCACAAAAUUCAAAAUAUAAAUAUUAGAAUCCUAAAUAUUAUUAGGGGUGCACAUGCACCCAUAGUAUAUAAGGUGGCUUCGCCCCUGAGAUUGAUGUCACGGUUCUAUAGUUACAGAAUCAGAAACUUAUCCAGCAAUUAAACUUACCUUAGCUUUUCGAGGAAUCCUUCAUCAGUGGUCGUGAAUAACUGAUUUUUCUCAGGACGAUGUUGAGACCAAGGUCCAAGAGUUGCAUCUCAACCAAAUAUGACGACCAAUUUAUCUCUGUUAGCCUGCUUUGGAACCAGAACCAGGUCAGAUAUUACUUUUGUGUCUUUUUUUUCUUUCGAGUUGUCUAGUUCCAUUAGGUGGUUUUCCUUUCGCUAACAAAUGAACAACAUUAUUACCGGUUCUUCUAACAAACAUAUGUAAUGACGUAGAGAAUUAUCAUCUCAAAACCAAAUCAAAAAACCAAAUAUGGCGUAAAAGAUUAUGAAAAUUAGGUAUUAUUAAUCAAAACCUCCGAAUCUCCUUCAAAAAUGGUAUUAGAAAACCACAACUCCAAGUUGAUUGCAUUGCUAAGAGGAGGGUCUUUGCUUCUGCUUCCAAACUUGAAAAUGUCAUGUCUGCAUAUGAUGAUCCCCCAACUUUGUUACUCCAUAGCUAUUGCCAACAAUCCAGCCGC